AAACUGAAGAGUUUGAUCCUGGCUCAGAUUGAACGCUGGCGGCAUGCCUUACACAUGCAAGUCGAACGGCAGCACGGGUGCUUGCACCUGGUGGCGAGUGGCGAACGGGUGAGUAAUACAUCGGAACAUGUCCUGUAGUGGGGGAUAGCCCGGCGAAAGCCGGAUUAAUACCGCAUACGAUCUACGGAUGAAAGCGGGGGACCUUCGGGCCUCGCGCUAUAGGGUUGGCCGAUGGCUGAUUAGCUAGUUGGUGGGGUAAAGGCCUACCAAGGCGACGAUCAGUAGCUGGUCUGAGAGGACGACCAGCCACACUGGGACUGAGACACGGCCCAGACUCCUACGGGAGGCAGCAGUGGGGAAUUUUGGACAAUGGGCGAAAGCCUGAUCCAGCAAUGCCGCGUGUGUGAAGAAGGCCUUCGGGUUGUAAAGCACUUUUGUCCGGAAAGAAAUCCUUGG
rnacentral:rRNA from 2 species